CAGACCCUCACCACACACACACACACACAACGAGACCCAGGAAAGACCGGGCCUGGAUGGAAUAUAGACUGUCCUCUCCUCUCACAGACCCUCACCACACACACACACACACAACGAGACCCAGGAAAGACCGGGCCUGGAUGGAAUAUAGACUGUCCUCUCACAGAGCGGCACACAGCAGAAACCCAGAAGCAUCUUCUUCGUUGCCCGUUAUCAACGUACAGUAGGAAGUCACAGAGCAGCAACAACAGAGUGUUCAUUUACCUGUACGGGAAAAGGCCCGGCUCACUUAUUCCAUGCUUCUCUACCACUCUCAACACAUAAGAGAUAAUGGAUGGAUUUGAUUCAAUGUUUUUAUUUUUCACCGAAUGUUUUUUUUUUUUUUUAAAGCAAAUUUUAAAAAACCAGAAGCAGUUCAUUGAGUAUUAUUAUUAUUAUUUUGGUUGUAAUUUUCAUCGCUUCAUUUCUUUCAAGGUUUUUUUUUUUAGCAUGGAGGUGUGUUUAUUUAGUCUUUGGGAAAAUGUGUAUAAGAGUAUUCAUUCACCCCAAGUGAAGAAGAAAAUAUAAAAAAUGAUGUUGUACAAUUGUGUAUAAUGUUUCAGUAGGAAAAUGUUUUACAUAAAUAUCCAUAUUUAUUUUUGUUUUCAUUUUUUUAAAUUGCCAAUGCUGGGUUUCCUAAAGCAGGAACAAACACAAAAAAAACCUCAAUAAAAUGCUUCAGAACGGACUUGUUAAAGUUUAUUCUGUGAUCAAUAGUGGGGGUCUUGGAAGUGGUCGGUUUAUGAAAUGAAACCAACGUGAAAUCAGAAUAAUACAAUUAUAAUACAAAACAUUAUGGAGAAACACUUUGUUUCGCAGAAAACAAAUCAUCAUCACAUUUAUUUUUAUUAUAGUAUAAAAAUGUCACAAAAAGGCCACAUUUUAGGGAGGUAAAGUAAAUCAACCUUGGAACAUUGUCCAAAAAAUAUUUACACAACAAAACAAAAAAAACCUCCUUCCCAUCGUUUGAGUCAGAAGACAUUGUUCAACAAUGUGUAUGUUUGUUCACACAUGAGCCAGUUUAGAUUCAGAUAUUGUUGUUUACACAUGAGCCAGUUUAGAUUCAGAUAUUGUUGUUUACACAUGAGCCAGUUUAGAUUCAGAUAUUGUUGUUCACACAUGAGCCAGUUUAGAUUCAGAUAUUGUUGUUCACACAUGAGCCAGUUUAGAAUCAGAUAUUGUUGUUUACGUCACAUGAGCCAGUUUAGAAUCAGAUAUUGUUGUUCACACAUGAGCCAGUUUAGAAUCAGAUAUUGUUGUUUACACAUGAGCCAGUUUAGAAUCAGAUAUUGUUGUUUACACAUGAGCCAGUUUAGAUUCAGAUAUUGUUGUUCACACAUGAGCCAGUUUAGAUUCAGAUAUUGUUGUUCACACAUGAGCCAGUUUAGAUUCAGAUAUUGUUGUUUACACAUGAGCCAGUUUAGAUUCAGAUAUUGUUGUUCACACAUGAGCCAGUUUAGAUUCAGAUAUUGUUGUUCACACAUGAGCCAGUUUAGAUUCAGAUAUUGUUGUUCACACAUGAGCCAGUUUAGAUUCAGAUAUUGUUGUUUACACAUGAGCCAGUUUAGAAUCAGAUAUUGUUGUUUUCACAUGGUAUCUAGUAUCUGGUGUCAGAUAUUGUUGUUUACACAUGAGCCAGUUUAGAAUCAGAUAUUGUUGUUUACAUCACAUGUUAUCUAGUAUCUGGUGUCAGAUAUUGUUGUUUACAUCACAUGGUAUCUAGUAUUGUUGUUCUGGUUUGUCAGAUAUUGUUGUUCACACAUGAGCCAGUUUAGAAUCAGAUAUUGUUGUUCACACAUGAGCCAGUUUAGAAUCAGAUAUUGUUGUUACACAUGAGCCAGUUUAGUCAGAUAUUGUUGUUUAGCCAGUUUAGAAUCAGAUAUUGUUGUUCAUCUGAGCCAGUUUAGAAUCAGAUAUUGUUGUUUACACAUGAGCCAGUUUAGAAUCAGAUAUUGUUGUUUACACAUGAGCCAGUUUAGAUUCAGAUAUUGUUGUUCACACAUGAGCCAGUUUAGAAUCAGAUAUUGUUGUUCACACAUGAGCCAGUUUAGAAUCAGAUAUUGUUGUUUACGUCACAUGGUAUCUAGUAUCUGGUGUCAGAUAUUGUUGUUUACACAUGAGCCAGUUUAGAAUCAGAUAUUGUUGUUUACAUCACAUGUUAUCUAGUAUCUGGUGUCAGAUAUUGUUGUUUACAUCACAUGGUAUCUGGUGUCAGAUAUUGUUGUUUACAUCACAUGGUAUCUAGUAUCUGGUGUCAGAUAUUGUUGUUUACACAUGAGCCAGUUUAGAAUCAGAUAUUGUUGUUCACACAUGAGCCAGUUUAGAAUCAGAUAUUGUUGUUUACUUCACAUGGUAUCUAGUAUUUGGUGUCAGAUAUUGUUGUUCACACAUGAGCCAGUUUAGAAUCAGAUAUUGUUGUUCACACAUGAGCCAGUUUAGAAUCAGAUAUUGUUGUUUACGU
ensembl:lncRNA